rnacentral:piRNA from 1 species
GGUCAGAGAACACAAGGUUUGCCACCAU